AGCAGUAGCAGCAUUAGGGACAACAUGGACUUGAAUCUUCCCAGGGAUGAGAGGCCAGGACAGAAAUGGGCUGCAGGGGCCAGAAGUAACAAUAUAGCCGACAUUGUGAGAGGUCUUGUUGCCACAAAGGUAUCUGAUGUUGUGUGUUGGCAGAAAUGCAGAGUGGUACCACCGGUCACCUGAGCCACCUUUCCCCUCACAGACGAGAGACUCGUCUGUCAGUGACAGUAGUUUCCAGAGUAGCACUGAAUUGCAUGAAGCCUUACAAACUUAAGCAGCCAUCCACUGACAGGCUGGAGUGAUUUGGAUUUCCGAUGCCACAUUUACCUUUGUGCUCAGUGACAAGCUGGCGCUUAGCUGCCAUGUCUGAUGAUCCUCAUUGAGUUUAAUGGUGUUUCUACUGGCCUUAUCAUCAAGUCUCUGCAUAUGACUUCUUGCAGUAGCUGAGAUAUCCAUAUAUGUGAGAAGCACAUUUGCCUUUGUUAUUCCAGCAGGCAUUUCCCUAAACCCAGAACCAAGAAACGUGUUUAUUGUGGCUCCCUUGCCAUCUUUGCACUCGCUAUACUGGCGUAAGUUCCGGUGCACCAGGCAGGUCUUCCUCAUUUGGAAUCCACAUCUUCAGCUGAACUGCGGCAAUGAAUAAAAUCAGACUCCUUAGCAGCAUGGGCUUCACAGUCUUGGAUGAGAGCAUGGCUUGGGUAACAGAUGCUGGGAGCCAGUCACAAGAGGAGGAGGUCGGGACACAGAUUCUGGGAGCCAGUCACAAGAGGUGGAGGGCGGGACACAGAUGCUGGGACCCAGUCACAAGAGGUGGAGGGCGGGACACAGAUGCUGGGACCCAGUCAUAAGAGGUGGAGGUCAGGACACAGA